rnacentral:rRNA from 1 species
GCUCAGGAUGAACGCUGGCGGCGUGCUUAACACAUGCAAGUCGAGCGAAGCAGUUAAGAAGAUUCUUCGGAUGAAUCUUAACUGACUGAGCGGCGGACGGGUGAGUAACGCGUGGGUGACCUGCCCCAUACCGGGGGAUAACAGCUGGAAACGGCUGCUAAUACCGCAUAAGCGCACAGAGCCGCAUGGCUCGGUGUGAAAAACUCCGGUGGUAUGGGAUGGGCCCGCGUCUGAUUAGGCAGUUGGCGGGGUAACGGCCCACCAAACCGACGAUCAGUAGCCGGCCUGAGAGGGCGACCGGCCACAUUGGGACUGAGACACGGCCCAAACUCCUACGGGAGGCAGCAGUA